AUUGAACGCUGGCGGCAGGCCUAACACAUGCAAGUCGAGCGGAUGAAGGGAGCUUGCUCCUGGAUUCAGCGGCGGACGGGUGAGUAAUGCCUAGGAAUCUGCCUGGUAGUGGGGGAUAACGUCCGGAAACGGGCGCUAAUACCGCAUACGUCCUGAGGGAGAAAGUGGGGGAUCUUCGGACCUCACGCUAUCAGAUGAGCCUAGGUCGGAUUAGCUAGUUGGUGGGGUAAAGGCCUACCAAGGCGACGAUCCAUAACUGGUCUGAGAGGAUGAUCAGUCACACUGGAACUGAGACACGGUCCAGACUCCUACGGGAGGCAGCAGUAGGGAAUAUUGGACAAUGGGCGAAAGCCUGAUCCAGCCAUGCCGCGUGUGUGAAGAAGGUCUUCGGAUUGUAAAGCACUUUAAGUUGGGAGGAAGGGCAGUAAGUUAAUACCUUGCUGUUUUGACGUUACCAACAGAAUAAGCACCGGCUAACUUCGUG
rnacentral:rRNA from 1 species